rnacentral:lncRNA from 1 species
CUCUGACCCCGCAGCGUCGUGGCUAGAGUAGGGUCUGGAGAGAGCUCCCACUGUGGCGAGUCCUGUCGUUGGAUUCCCGCGGCGCCCCGUAAGGCUCCGCCCCGGCGGUGCUACCAAACCCUGUUCGAUUUUAGAAUCGUACAUUCCCAGAGGGAAUCCUAGACCCCUCAUUUUACAGUUGAGGAAACAGGCCCAAGUAGCAUGACUUGUUCGCGCCGCUAGUCGAAGGAGCAGCAGCCCCGAUCCCUUGACUCUGGGGCACUGCUUUCCCUUUAGCUCAUUUUUGGAGGAAAUGGGUGCGCCCUUGCUCGACCUUUGGUGAUUGCCGCCACAGGCCUUCCCGCCGGCUAACUCAGCGUGCCCAAGUCCCGUGACUUAGUGCCAGGACGGUGCUGUGACCCGUUAUCCCCUGUCGGGUUUUACCUCCCCCCGGGAGAGCUCAGCCCUGGAUCCCGGCGGGCGGCGGAGCCUCUCUGGAGCCCGGACGGGACAGCCCACCAGGGUCUGCUUCUGUGAGGGGCCGAGGCGUCAUUCCGCGAAGCCUUCUCCUUGCUGUUGCCAUGUGAAGAAGGAUGUGUUUGCUUCCCCUUCUGCCAUGAUUGGAAAUAUCUAAGAAUAUGAUUGCUGGGUCCCAUGGAAGCUGCUGGAAGGUACACAUCUUGGGAGUUUGCCCUUUGAAGCUCACCUGUGGACCUUUUUUCCUUUCGAAAAGAAGCAUAAGCUGCAAUAAAAAUUUGGUUUCAAGAUAACAAAGUCAGUCCCCAAAAAUCAGUAUUGAGAGUCACUGACAUUAAAUGAUGAAGAUACGA